AGAUUGAUGAUGACUUACACAUAUACUUUUUUUUUUUUUUUGGAAAGGUGAAGAAAAUGAGUGAAAACUCAGUACUAUCAUCCUCAUCUAACUGAGGUCC
rnacentral:snoRNA from 1 species